rnacentral:rRNA from 1 species
CUCUAUACCGUAAAAAAGUAUA